UCUAUAAAUUGCAAUGCUCAAUCAACCACCAAUGCUACAAACUUUCUAUAGUCUUUCUCUCAAAUCACACACACACACACUCUCUCUACAUUUCUCUUGUUCCAAAAUCAAAAUGUUUAACUCCGACAACGCCGAUAAAAAGCCAGCCGACCAAACUCCGAAGGGUCCCGGACUGAUGGAGCAAGCUGGUAGUGCUGCACAAACUGCCAAAGAAUCAGUUAUGGAGGCGGGAAAGCAAGUGCAGACUAAGACGCAAGAAGCGGUUAAUUAUGUGAAGGAAACAGUUGCGCCGGCGGCCAAAAAGUGAAAGAUUCAUCAGAUGUUUUCAUAUCAUCAAAUGUGUUUUUUUUUUAAUUGUUAUUGUUCUGUUUGUUUCAGUUUGUGAUGGUGUUUUAGUUUGAAGUUUGUGUUUAGGGUUUCAUUUUCGCAGUCAUUUGUUGUUAAUGUGUUGGCUGUAGCUCUGAUUAAAAUCUAUUUUUAAGGGUAAUCAAUUAUAUUCCCUUCCGAUA